rnacentral:rRNA from 1 species
AACUAUAACGGUCCUAAGGUAGCGAAAUUCCUUGUCGGGUAAGUUCCGACCUGCACGAAUGGCGUAAUGAUGGCCACGCUGUCUCCACCCGAGACUCAGUGAAAUUGAAAUCGCUGUGAAGAUGCAGUGUACCCGCGGCUAGACGGAAAGACCCCGUGAACCUUUACUACAGCUUGGCACUGAACAUUGACCCUACAUGUGUAGGAUAGGUGGGAGGCUUUGAAGCAGGUACGCCAGUAUCUGUGGAGCCGUCCUUGAAAUACCACCCUUGUAGUGUUGAUGUUCUAACGUCGACCCCUAAUCGGGGUUGCGGACAGUGCCUGGUGGGUAGUUUGACUGGGGCGGUCUCCUCCCAAAGAGUAACGGAGGAGCACGAAGGUGGGCUAAUCACGGUUGGACAUCGUGAGGUUAGUGCAAUGGCAUAAGCCCGCUUGACUGCGAGAAUGACAAUUCGAGCAGGUGCGAAAGCAGGUCAUAGUGAUCCGGUGGUUCUGAAUGGAAGGGCCAUCGCUCAACGGAUAAAAGGUACUCCGGGGAUAACAGGCUGAUACCGCCCAAGAGUUCAUAUCGACGGCGGUGUUUGGCACCUCGAUGUCGGCUCAUCACAUCCUGGGGCUGAAGU